rnacentral:rRNA from 1 species
GUGGGUAGUUUGACUGGGGCGGUCUCCUCCUAAAGAGUAACGGAGGAGCACGAAGGUUGGCUAAUCCUGGUCGGACAUCAGGAGGUUAGUGCAAUGGCAUAAGCCAGCUUGACUGCGAGCGUGACGGCGCGAGCAGGUGCGAAAGCAGGUCAUAGUGAUCCGGUGGUUCUGAAUGGAAGGGCCAUCGCUCAACGGAUAAAAGGUACUCCGGGGAUAACAGGCUGAUACCGCCCAAGAGUUCAUAUCGACGGCGGUGUUUGGCACCUCGAUGUCGGCUCAUCACAUCCUGGGGCUGAAGUAGGUCCCAAGGGUAUGGCUGUUCGCCAUUUAAAGUGGUACGCGAGCUGGGUUUAGAACGUCGUGAGACAGUUCGGUCCCUAUCUGCCGUGGGCGCU